ensembl:misc_RNA Metazoa_SRP Metazoan signal recognition particle RNA
ACCAGGUGGGGUGGCACAUGCCUGUAGUCCUAGCUACUCAGGAGGCUGAGAUGGGAGGACUGCUUGAGCUCGGGAGCUCUGGGCUGUAGUGCAUUAUGCUCCUCGAGUGUCCACAGUAUGUUUGGCAUCAAUAUGGUGACCUCCCAGGAGUGGGAGACCACCAGGUCGCCUAAGGAGAGAUGAACUUGCCUAGGUAGAAAAUGGAGUAGGUCAAAACUCGCAUCCUGAUCAGUAGUGGGAUGGUGCCUGUGAACAGCCAUUGCACUACAGCCUGGGCAACACAGUGAGACCCCAUCAUGU